rnacentral:rRNA from 1 species
UACGUAGGGUGCAAGCGUUAAUCGGAAUUACUGGGCGUAAAGCGUGCGCAGGCGGUUUUGUAAGACAGGCGUGAAAUCCCCGGGCUCAACCUGGGAAUUGCGCUUGUGACUGCAAGGCUGGAGUGCGGCAGAGGGGGAUGGAAUUCCGCGUGUAGCAGUGAAAUGCGUAGAUCUACGAAGGAACGCCAAAAGCGAAGGCAGCUCUCUGGGUCCCUACCGACGCUGGGGUGCGAAAGCAUGGGGAGCGAAC